UUCGCAAUGCCCGAAAGGGUGACGAAGCGACGCCGCGUGUGGGAUGAAGGCCCUCGGGUUGUAAACCACUGUCGGGAGUUAAGAAUUGUAGGGGUGCUAAUAGUAUUUCUACUUGACUAAGGCUCCGGAGGAAGCCACGGCUAACUCUGUGCCAGCAGCCGCGGUAAUACAGAGGCGGCAAGCGUUGUUCGGAAUUAUUGGGCGUAAAGAGCAUGUAGGCGGCUAUGUAAGUCGGUUGUGAAAGCCUUCCGCUUAACGGAAGAAUGGCGGUCGAAACUGCAUGGCUUGAGUGCGGGAGGGGAGAGUGGAACUUCUGGUGGAGCGGUGAAAUGCGUAGAUAUCAGAAGGAACGUCGGCGGCGAAAGCGACUCUCUAGACCGUAACUGACGCUGGGUGUGCGAAAGCUAGGGGAGCAAACGGGAUUAGAUACCCCGGUAGUCCUAGCCGUAAACGAUGGGCACUAAGUAGAGGGGUUUU
rnacentral:rRNA from 1 species